AUGGUAACGUUGGCGCUAUCGUCCCUGGUCGUCAUAGUGACAAUCCUGCCCGAGGUGGUGUCGUAGCUCCGUCCCACGGUGUAGCUCUUCUCUCUGAUUGGCUGAGGGGGAGCUUGGUUUGCUAUGACCCCGCCCUCCUGAAGUGCACAGAGGUUCGAUCAUCGGGGAGUCGUCGACCCCUCGUAGAUGUGAGGAAGCCAGACGUUUCUCCCACUCUGUCAUCCCCCCUCCUCCUCCUUCCUCUAAGAAGGAGCGUCUGAGAGCGCUGAUGGUGCUUUGAGGUUUCUGCACCUCCUCAGGACUUCCCAACAUCUCCUGAGGACACACAGGCGAGAGGACAGGACACAGAUCGGACGACAUGUGAUUACAUCAGCAGAAACAGAGCUGAGAGCUGAUUGGACAGAAAAGAACACUUCUGAUACCAAGUGUGUCCCAGUGAAGCAGAGCCCCUCCAGCCAAUCAGAAGGCAGCAUUCCUCAACAAGCUGAAUGAAAUGAGGCAUUCAGAGCUGUGGACAGUAACAGAGCAGUACUGCAGUAGUACUACAGCCAGCAGCAUUGUUCGUACAGUAAUGAGCUCUACCUGUGUGUGUACCACCGUUGGCUUUGGGGGAAGCUGUAAUGGCUGGAGAGCCAAUCAGAGAGGGUGUGGGUGUGGUCCUCGGGCCUGAGGACCAAUCAAAAACUCAGGUCACCAACAAGUAAAGAAAGAACCCCCCCCAAACUACUACCACCACUAGGAUCGGUACUACAACUACUGGGACAAGUACCGCAACAAGUACGGACGGCUGGUUGAACACUUCUGGUUCUAAAACUACUACUACUACAGUAGUAGUAGUAGUAGUACUGCAGUAGUGCAACUGGGACCAAAACGAUUUUUAGUAUCUGAACUAUGA